UUCUCUCUUAAAUCUCCCUCUCUCCCUCUAUCAGUUCCAGCUCAAAACAGGAGGCAAACCAACCACUGCCACCACUCGGCCACCCAAUGCCAUCACCCGGAAAAACCCACCUCCACCUUGGGUUGCUGCUGAAAUCGAUCCCCAAGAGUCUCUCCACCUCCCCUGCAUCGAACCCCACCGUUUUAAGCAAGAAACCGGCGGCAGAAGACCACCGGAGUAGCUUCCUUCCACCUCCGUCACCAUCACUAUUACAGCCUCAAACCACCGCCUCCACCUGCUGGGAUCCUUAGACAAGCUUUCAGACGGAAGAUUUGUCGUGGAUUUCAGACGACUUAGCUAUCUAGUUUUUGUAUUUGCCUACUUGUUUAAGGCAACUACUAUCUAUUAUCACUUGUAAGAACCUUGUAUUCAAACCUUAAUGAUGGAAUAUAAAUGUUGUUUUGUUUGUC